AUUGAACGCUGGCGGUAGGCCUAACACAUGCAAGUCGAGCGGCAGCACAGUACUUGCUUGCGGAUUCGGCGGCCGAGUGGCGGGCAAUGGCGAGGUACCUGCGAAUCUGCGGUGGAUAACGUGAGGACACAGGGGAACAUACGCCAAUCGUGCUGACGGCGAAAGUGGGGGAGCAUGGGAUCUUCCGACCUUACACGAGCGGAGGUCGGAUUAGCUAGUUGGUGGGGUAAAGGCCUACCAAGGCGACGAUCCGUAACUGGUCUGAGAGGAUGAGCAGUCACACUGGAACUGAGACACGGUCCAGACUCCUACGGGAGGCAGCAGUGGGGAAUAUUGGACAAUGGGCGAAAGCCUGAUCCAGCCAUGCCGCGUGUGUGAAGAAGGUCUUCGGGUUGUAAAGCCCUUUAGUUUGGAAAGAAGAGCAGCAGGUUAAUACCUCGCUGUUUUGACGGUACCAAAAGAAUAAGCACCGGCUAACUUCGUG
rnacentral:rRNA from 1 species